GACGAACGCUGGCGGCGUGCUUAACACAUGCAAGUCGAGCGGUAAGGCCCUUUCGGGGGUACACGAGCGGCGAAUGGGUGAGUAACACGUGGGUGACCUGCCCUGCACUCUGGGAUAAGCCUGGGAAACUGGGUCUAAUACCGGAUAUUCACAUGGUCCUGCAUGGGGUUGUGUGGAAAGUUUUUUCGGUGUGGGAUGGGCCCGCGGCCUAUCAGCUUGUUGGUGGGGUGAUGGCCUACCAAGGCGA
rnacentral:rRNA from 1 species